rnacentral:rRNA from 1 species
UGCGUAGGUGGCGCCAUAAGUCGGGUGUGAAAUUUCGGAGCUUAACUCCGAAACUGCAUUCGAUACUGUGGUGCUUGAGGACUGGAGAGGAGACUGGAAUUUACGGUGUAGCAGUGAAAUGCGUAGAGAUCGUAAGGAAGACCAGUGGCGAAGGCGGGUCUCUGGACAGUUCCUGACACUGAGGCACGAAGGCCAGGGGAGCAAACG